AGAGAUGUUGAAUAUCUCUAUAUAUUACUAAUUUACUACACAUAUUUUGGAUAAAUUAAGUGUAAUGAAAAAGUUAUAAACCAGAAGUUUAUACUGCAGUUUUAUAUAUAAUAGUGCAAUUGAAGUACAAAUUAUUGUAAACCAGAAGUUUACAAAUUAUAUUAAAUUUAUUGUUGGCAAUACCGGUUGGGUCAUCCCGGAUUUAUUAUGAUGCGAAAAAAAAAACUAUAAAUAUAUUUUGAAGGGCC
rnacentral:lncRNA from 1 species